GGUUAAGUGACUAAGCGUACAUGGUGGAUGCCUUGGCAGUCAGAGGCGAUGAAGGACGUACUAACCUGCGAUAAGCCGUGAGCAGUCGGUAAGAGACAUUACGACUCACGGAUUUCCGAAUGGGG
rnacentral:rRNA from 1 species